rnacentral:rRNA from 1 species
UACGUAGGGCGCAAGCGUUGUCCGGAAUUAUUGGGCGUAAAGAGCUCGUAGGCGGCUUGUUGCGUCGGUUGUGAAAGCCCGGGGCUUAACCCCCGGGUCUGCAGUCGAUACGGGCAGGCUAGAGUGUGGUAGGGGAGAUCGGAAUUCCUGGUGUAGCGGUGAAAUGCGUAGAUAUCUGGAGGAACACCGGUGGCGAAGGCGGCAUCCUGGACCAACACUGACGCUGAGGAGCGAAAGCCAGGGGAGCAAACGGG